UAUCACAGCCAGCUUUGAUGGGCA
rnacentral:miRNA from 4 species